rnacentral:rRNA from 1 species
CCUACGGGCGGCAGCAGUGGGGAAUAUUGCACAAUGGGGGAAACCCUGAUGCAGCAACGCCGCGUGAAGGAAGACGGUUUUCGGAUUGUAAACUUCUGUUCUUAGUGAAGAAUAAUGACGGUAGCUAAGGAGCAAGCCACGGCUAACUACGUGCCAGCAGCCGCGGUAAUACGUAGGUGGCAAGCGUUGUCCGGAAUUACUGGGUGUAAAGGGAGCGCAGGCGGGAAGCCAAGUCAGCUGUGAAAUCCUGCGGCUUAACCGCAGAACUGCAUUUGAAACUGUUGAUCUUGAGUACUGGAGAGGCAGACGGAAUUCCUAGUGUAGCGGUGAAAUGCGUAGAUAUUAGGAGGAACACCAGUGGCGAAGGCGGUCUGCUGGACAGCAACUGACGGUGAGGCGCGAAAGCGUGGGGAGCAAACAGGAUUAGAUACCCCAGUAGUC